UGACAGAGGGUGCAAGCGGUUUGUUCGGAGUUAUUGGGCGUAAAGCGCGCGCAGGCGGUGCGGUAAGUCUCUGGUGAAAGCGCUCGGCUUAACUGGGCGAGGGCCGGGGAGACUGCCACGCUGGAGGGGAGCAGAGGCGAGUGGAAUUCCGGGUGUAGUGGUGAAAUGCGUAGAGAUCCGGAGGAACACCAGUGGCGAAGGCGGCUCGCUGGGCUCUACCUGACGCUGAGGCGGCGAAAAGCGUGGGGAGCGAACCGG
rnacentral:rRNA from 1 species